UGGAGAGUCCUGCUCUUCCAGUGAUGGAGGGAGAAGCUGUGACUCUGAGAUGCAGAAACAAGGUGAACUCCAGCUUGGCGGCUGAUUUCUACAAAGACGGACUCCAUGUCAGCAGCAGCUCCUCAGGAAAGAUGGACAUCCACAGAGUUUCCAAGUCUGAUGAAGGACUCUACAAAUGCAGCAUCUCAGGAGGUGUAGAAUCAGCAGAGAGUCGGCUGACUGUCAGAGCUCACACACAACAAGAAGAUCACAACGAUCCAACUCCUCCCUCCUCCAGUGCCACACCAUGGAUCAUCAUCACUGUUUUAUUGAUAAUUCUGUUGGUGGUCGGGGGGCUGCAUCACUUUGCCAAAGAUUACUGGGACAGAGUUUUGCUCUAUAUGUCAACAAUAGCAGCUCGUUUACGCCCUGCAGACGAAC
ensembl:lncRNA